AGUUGCUGACUCUGAGUACAGAGUAAACCGGAACUUCUCCCCGACCCCUGUCAUUCAUUCAAGGAACAGAAGAUGUUUUCGAUCAAAUAUUUAUUCUACUAAGUCAACUGAAUUUUUAGAGUACCAAUUUCUUCAGAUUCAAGAACCUGCUACUCUUGACUUUGUAUUAAAUAAUUCUAGGCCAUUUUACAGAAAGGAGAUACUAUAAUAACUACUUUUUGGAUCUGAAAAUACAGCCAUGCUCUGAAUAACAAUGUUUUGGUCAUUGAUGUACCACAUAUAUGAAGGUGGUCCGGAACAUGAAGCAUCAGAUUGAAUGAAACCUUCCAAGGCCUUUCAGAAGUGUCUCGAAGUCUCCAACAACUGCAUCCAGCUACUCAUCAUUAUCAAGUUCCAAGAAAUGAGGGAUGAAAAUAAAACAUAUAGUGAAGAGCAGUCUUAUGUGCACAGUCUUUUGAAUGUUACCCAGCCAUAUAGGAAGAGACCAUGGGCCUGGAAUGCUUCCUCAACAAGAGAUAAAGAGCCUGCACAUGUGUGUCAAUGGUCCUUAGACACACCCUCAGCUUCAGCAUUUCAGAUUCCAUGCAGUGUGAGUCAAGGUCUUUGUACUGUGGUUUUAGAGGUGUGCACGUAGGGUAGUUGCUCUGAGUUGUGGGGGGCACCAACCAUGGGAGAUCUAUGCAUGCAACAGGGAUUUGUCUCCCUCUGUUUUGUGUACAUGAGUAAAAGCACUCUUCCAUCCCGUGA